rnacentral:rRNA from 1 species
UACGUAGGUCCCGAGCGUUGUCCGGAUUUAUUGGGCGUAAAGCGAGCGCAGGUGGUUUAUUAAGUCUGGUGUAAAAGGCAGUGGCUCAACCAUUGUAUGCAUUGGAAACUGGUAGACUUGAGUGCAGGAGAGGAGAGUGGAAUUCCAUGUGUAGCGGUGAAAUGCGUAGAUAUGUGGAGGAACACCGGUGGCGAAAACGGCUCUCUGGCCUGUAACUGACACUGAGGCUCGAAAGCGUGGGGAGCAAACAGG